rnacentral:lncRNA from 1 species
CAAACACUGGGAUCCCUGGAUACCAUGAGGCAAGAUUUCACUCUGUCACCCAGACUGGAGUGCAGUGGCACAAACAUAGCUCACUGAAGCCUCAAACUCCUGGGCUCAAGAGAUCCUUCUGCUUCAGCCUCCUGAGUAGCUGGGACUUCAGAAUCCCAGUCCUCUCUCUCUCACUGACCCCGAAGAUAAGCAUUGGAAAGGGGAGCUUUGGGGAAAUGAAUCUGCCCUGUCAUCUGCGUAUAGAGCUAAUCUUAAAUCCCAACUGCCAAAUGGAUCCUGAGGUGUCAGAAACUCUCCCGAGAUAAGGGGGCUUCUAGCAACCAUCUGCAUUCUGGACCCAGAGAGAAGGUGUGGGUGGACAAAGCAAAGCAGAGCCCUGACCUCACACCAGCUGGCUGAGCUGUCUUGGCUUGCAUUUGCUGUUCCAGCAUUUGUGGAGUUUGAAAUCUGCAUGCUUGGAGUGCGGAGAGCUGGAUCUUGCACCACAGUCUCCCUGUGGGCUCUUGAAUCUUCAGGCGCCUAAGCCAGCAAGAGAUACCUUUAUAGAGAAAGGACAUGUAGCCUAGAUCUGUGCUUCUCAAUUAUCAUUGAUGAGAAAACCAGGGGAAGCAGAGGUAAGAACCUGUUCAAGAAGGCACAUCUCAGAUGUGGAAGAACCAUGAUUCAACUCGAGUCUGUCUGCUUCCCAAGACUGUGGUAUUUAAACAGCUUAUAAUGAAAAUUCCUUCUAUAGCUCCCCAUAAAAGGGCACACAGUUCUUUCUUAACGUAUUAUUUCAGGCAUUCAUUCACCAUUGAUGUAUUUGUGAAGGUGUUCUCUCUAAAUAAACUAUUGGGACCUUACUUGACUGUGA